ACUAGGUCAAGUAGUCAACCUCAUGCCCAAAAUUGUAUGGUCUUGCCAUCGACACGGAUAAUUUGUGCAUAACCAUGUUUUAUUUAUUUAAAUCAUGUCUCUAAUGGUCCUCCUACAUAGUGAAAAGUACAUAUAUUAAUAAAUUAACAUGAAAUAAUAAAAAAUAUGCGUGAAAUCAUGUAAUUAAGCAUAAUUUCACAUACUUUCCAAAUUCACGUCUAAAAUUACUAGUUAAGUAAAAUUCACUUAUUUCAAUAAUAAUUACUCGAGAUAAACAUAAUAAUUAAGUAAAAAGGUGGUAAAAACAUAUAGAAAAGACCUUAUACAAUUUCUAGUCUCAUUCAAUCAAGUGGCCUAACAUGUUGCUCCCAUUAUGUAGGAAGGACAAAUCCUAUAUUGAUCAACCAUAUCCUACUACAUAGAUUGUGGUAUAUCCAACAUUAGCCUUAAUAGAACAACCAAUUACGGUGGAUGUUUGACUGUAUGAAAAUAUACGACUCAUAAUGUUAGGAUAAUGAUGAUCUCAAGUUUGAGGAUCGUAUACAUAGUAAUCACAAUGAGUAAUAUUGUGAAUAUUACAUAAUAAUCCAAGAAACAUACUCAUAGUGGGUCAUUCCAAUAUGUUUUUCUCUAACACACAUACUCAUAUAUUGAUUUUGACAUCCCAUGUCAAUGACAACACUUUCUCAUCAAUAAACUACACGUUAGUCUUAAUGCAUUAUUUUUGUCAAAGCCCACAAUAAUAGUUGACUAAGGACCUUUUAAGAAUAAUCAUAUUAUUCUCAGUACAUUAUUAUAAAACAGUUUAUGUAUAUACAAUGAAAAGAAAUUGAAAUAAUGAUGGCAAUGCUUUUUAUUAAUAAACGAGGUAAAACAACUAUGUUAUUACAAUCAUCUCAUGAUUGGUCUGUAGGCAUACUCUAACACGCACUACCCUCCCAAGAAUACCUUUAAUUUCAUGAUUAACUCUUUCAACUUGCCUAUUUUACCGUGGGUGAUAGGUAGUUUCAAUUUUAUGUUUCACACCGUACUUGUUAAGCAACCACUUAAGCCAUUUAUUUACAAAGUGAGAUCCUUCAUCACUAAUUAUAGCUCUCGGAGUCCCAAACCGUGUAAACACAUGCUUAUGUAGCAAUCGCAUAACUACCUUAGCAUCAUUUAUUGGGUAUGCCUUGGCUUUAACCCACUUGGGUACAUAAUCCCCAGCUACUAAAAUAUACUUGUUCCCAUAAGAAAAAAGGGUACGGGUCUAGAAAAUUAAUGCCCCAUACAUCAAAUAAUUCAACCUCUAAAAUCUUUGUCAACUGCCUGCCCACCUUGGAAACAGCUUAGCCGGAGGUAGGGUCCAGUGGCCAAAACAGCACCGCACGAUGCAUGAUGUCCAGUGCGCCCCCGACGGCCCUUGAAAAUCUGUAGGGUCGAGUGUCGUCUGCGCCUUGUUGUACUCAUAACCACAUUAGGUCUACAAGGUGAACAACCUCUAGUCAAUGGAAUAAUGUAGGUAAGGGAAGUCGACAAAAUAUAUCUGUAACCUUGAGAAAAAGAUUGGCUCUGAGAGCUAGGCAUGGGGGUCCCAAUCCCAAACCUGUCGACUGCUGGUGUCCUACUCGAGCUGCUCCUGCGAUAGAGCGGGUUGUCGUGUGUCGCCCAGGGGACGAACUGAGAACGGCUCCCUCGGGGGCCUUCUUUGGGUGACUAACAUUCGACUUAGAAUUGAUACGGACAAGGGGAAUCUGACUAUUUAAUUAAAACAAAACAUUGCGAUGGUACCUAUGGAUGCUCACGCAAUGUGAUUUUUGCCUAGCGCUCUGAAUGUCAAAGUGAAAAAAUUCAACCAAGCGCAGGUAAACAACGAGAGUAACUAUGACUCUCUUAAGGUAGCUAAAUACCUUGUCAUCUAACUAGUGACGCAUCUGAAUGGGUUAAAAGGAUUUUCAUUGUCCCUGUCUACUAUCUAGUGAAAGCACAACCAAGGGAACGAGCUUGGCAGAAUCAGCGGGGAAAGAAAACCCUGUUUAGCUUGAAUCUAGUCUGACUUUGUGAAAUGACUUGAGAGCUGCAGGAUAAGUGAGAGAUCUCAGGAGAAAUUAAAAUACCACUACUUUUAACAUUAUUUUAAUUAUUUCGUGAAUUGGAGGUGGUGCACAACCCCUCUUUUUAGACCCAAGGUCGGCUUCGGCUGACCGACCCAAGCGAAAGACAUUUUCAGGUAAGGAGUUUGGUUGGGGCGACACAUUUGUUAAAAGAUAACACAUGUGUCCUAAAAUGAGCUCAACUAUAACAGAAAUCUCUUGUAGAACAAAAAGGUAAAAGCUCGUUUGAUUCUGAUUUCUAGUACGAAUACGAACCGUAAAAGUGUAGCCUAUCGAUCCUUUAUACCUUCAAAAUUUGAAGCUAGAAGCGUCAGAAAAGUUGCUAUAGGGAUAACUGGCUUGUGGCAGCCAAGCGUUCAUAAAGAUGUUGCUUUUUUAUCCUUCGAUGUCAACUCUUCCUAUCAUUGUGAACUAGAACUCACCAAGUGUUGGAUUGUUCACACACUAAUAGGAAACGUGAGCUGGGUUUAGACCGUCGUAAGAUAGGUUAGUUUUACCCUAUUGAUGGUCGCGUCGUAAUAGUAAUUCAACCUAGUACGAGAAGAACCAUUGAUUCGCACAAUUGGUCAUCGUGCUUGGUUGAAAACUAGUGGCACGAAGCUACCGUGCACUGGAUUUUGAUUGAAUGCCUCUAAGUAAGAACCUAGGCUAGAAGCAAUGCACGCACUCAUCGCCUGAUUGCUGACCCGUAGUAGGGGCCAUUGGCCCCCAAGGGCACGUGUCAUAGGUGCAUCGACUGUGGCCGACAAGUCGCGAGCGCCUCCUUAGAGUGUAAUUCCAACUGA
rnacentral:rRNA from 1 species